rnacentral:lncRNA from 1 species
AAUAUUUUAAUUUUUUUUAUAAAGGCCAUGAUAAACAAAAAAUAAUUUUAGAUUCUUGCUUCCUUCCUUGAUGCUUCCUUGAUUCUGCCACACUUUCCAUACAUGUUGACGAUAGAGGUUCCAGCGACAACAUUACGCUCCCAGCCACACGAGCAAGUACUCUCGUGAUCUUUAUACCCUGUGCUUUAUCCUGCUUCCAAGAACACGCUGCCAGGAUCUCAGUCAGCGUCACCAUAUC